UUUGGGGAGACACCAGACUGAUCCAGGACCAGAGCAGCACAAGUGACUCCAACUGCCAGAACUGACCAUGAAAUACCUGGGAAUCCUGAUGAUUCUUGUAGUCUCUGCAACUGUCAUCUCAGCAAUUAUUAAAUUUCCACAUGAUGAACCAAUAGAUUGUCCCUGUGAGCCUUGCGAUUUUGUUUGCUGCACAAAGAUCGUAUCAGUGGAAAGGUGCAGGAGAUGUGAAAUACGGAAGUGCCCGGAGUUAGUUCGCAGGAAAUAGUGAGUUGUGACUUCUCUUCCAGCCCCAGGGAGAUGCCAUAAAGGGAAAGUAACCCCUGUCAUAAUGACACAUUUAUCUGAAUGACAACAAAUAAAAUGUUUAUGUGCUACA